rnacentral:snRNA from 1 species
AUACUGGAAUGGAAUGUAUAUAGUGGAAUGAUACACUGAUUACAUGGCCCUGUGCAAGGAUGGCAUGAAAAUUCAUGAAAUGUUCCAUAUUUUU